CUACGGGUUGCAGCAGUUAGGAAUCAUUUGCAAUGCGCGAAAGCGUGACAAUUUGAACCAGAGUGCUUCUCAUUGAGAAGCUUUUGCCAAAUGUAAAAAGUUUGGCGAAUAAGGACUGGGUAAGACGGGUGCCAGCCGCCGCGGUAAUACCCGCGGUCCAAGUCGCAGCCAUAUUUAUUGGGUCUAAAACAUCCGUAGCUUGCUUGGCAAGUUUUCUGUGAAAUUCUGGGUCUUAAGCUCAGAGCGUGCAGAGAGUACUACCAUGCUAGAGACCGGAAGACGUAAGAAGUACAUCUAAAGUAGCGGUAAAAUGUGUUAAUCUUAGGUGGACUCACAAUAGCGAAGGCAUCUUACGAGGACGGUUCUGACAGUAAGGGAUGAAGGCUAGGUGCGCAAAGUGGAUUAGAUACCCCGGUAGUC
rnacentral:rRNA from 1 species